rnacentral:sRNA from 20 species
GUACCUUCGAAAAUUAAUUAAACAUCUCUUAAUUAAAAACAGUAUACCCCAUAAUAUACGUGCGAAGGUGAAAUUUUGACUCCCUUUAGUAUUGGGCCUAUGCGAGAAGCGUAUAGGUCCAUUAU